CUUGGAUCACUUUUGUCCUCCUCUCUCGAAGAAGCUCUCGUCCUCCCACUCGAAUGUGUCUCUUGCCGAACCCUUCACCGCCUCUCUACGAUUUCUCAACAGACCGUUCUCCGCCUCUCUCUGAUUUCAAACCCUCGGCAGAUAACAACGUUUCUAGCAGUCUAUAUCUCCACUGAUACACAAAACGAUGAGGAUUAUUGCACUGCCGGUUCAAAGGCUGAAGAGAAGAAGGUAGAGGAGACAGCUUUUGAAGUGAAGUUGGAGAAGUUUGAAAAUGCUGCAAAAAUCAAGGUGAUUAAAGAAGUAAGGGCCUUUACCAAUCUAGGAUUGAAGGAAGCUAAAGUGCUGGUUGAGAAGGCACCUGUUUUGUUUAAACAAGAAGUUACCAAAGAAGAACCAAAUGACAUGAUAGAGAAGAUAAAGGCUGCUGGGUGAUUUGUAAUUAUGGAGUAAAAAUUUUCUGCAAUGGUUUUAUAUCCUUGGUUUUGUGUAGCUGGUUUUAUGGUAUCAGGAAAAUCUCAAAUUUCAAAUUAUGAAAAUUUUGUAAUGUGGCUGGUUGGUGGGCGUUCAUUUAUCUUGAUGAAAAUAUAGAAGGAAUAAAUUAUAUUUUGAGCU